AGGGCUGGGGAGGCCUCAGGGAACUUACCAUCAUGGCAGAAGGUGAAGGGGAAGCGAGGCACCUUCUUCACAAUGCAGCAGGAAGGAAAAUGAACUCAGAAGGAACUACCAAACACUUAAAAAACUAUCAGAUAUCCUGAGAACUCACUCAUUACCAUGACAACAGCAUGGGGGGAAACUGCCGUCAUGAUUCAGUUACUUCCACCUGGUUUCUCCCAUGAUAUGUGGGCAUUAUGGGGAUUACAACUUAAGGUUUCUGGCAUUCUUCAAAGUUGUGAAACAAGACAUAUUAUCUGUGUGGAGCUCCUACAUAGUGGAAAGUUGGACAAAAAUGUAGAGAAGUAAAUAAAUAAAUGGCUAUGAAAGUAGACGAUUGUUAUAUCUU
rnacentral:lncRNA from 10 species